GUGAUCCUACGGGGCGCAGCAGUGAGGAAUAUUAGUCAAUGGGCGGGAGCCUGAACCAGCCAAGCCGCGUGAGGGAAGAAGGUACAGCGUAUCGUAAACCUCUUUUGUCAGGGAACAAAGGCGGGGACUAGUCCCCGGAUGAGGGUACUUGAAGAAAAAGCAUCGGCUAACUCCGUGCCAGCAGCCGCGGUAAUACGGAGGAUGCGAGCGUUAUCCGGAUUUAUUGGGUUUAAAGGGUGCGUAGGCGGACUGUUAAGUCAGCGGUAAAAGCCCGGGGCUCAACCCCGGCGAGCCGUUGAAACUGG
rnacentral:rRNA from 1 species